CUCUCUUCUCGCCCAAGCUCACCCAAGCGCUCUCUCUCUCUCUCUUCAGAACUUGGGUUUCUGUCUUCGUCCAAACUCAGGUUCCAAGGGCCUGAGGAUCCACGACAACCCUGCUCUCGAGCACGCCUCCAAGCCUCCAAUUUCCUCUACCCGGUCUUCUUCAUCGAUCAGCACUGCAUGAAUCCCGACCCGAACGCACCCUCGGCCGGGUCCUCCAAGGCAGGCCUGAACCGAAUCUGGUUCCUGCUCCAGAGUCUGGUGGAUUUGGAUUUGAACCUUAAGAAGCUUGGGUCCAGAUUGUUGGUGCUUAAAGGCGAACCCAGUGAGGUCAUCGUUCGUUGCCUUAAGGAGUGGGAUGUGAAAAAACUUUGCUUUGAGUAUGACACCGAACCAUAUUACCAAGCUCUAGAUGUUAAAGUCAAGGUAUGCAACUUUACAUUUUUCAUUUUUGUGAUUACAAGUGAUAUCAUGUAAAGUUAUAUUAUUGAUUAGCAAAUGGAGGACUUUGAGAUUUCAAACCACUGAGCUUCUCUCUAUUUUGCUUCAAUACCAGAAAUUUUCUUUCCUUUCGGUAAUUAGAACUUCUACUUUCUGUUAAAUUCCAGUUCUUAAAGCUAUUCAAGGUUGUAAUGGAAUGCACUUUUGAUUAUUACGUUUUGGUAAACCCAUGAGGAUGGAUAGGACUGGAAAAGACCAAAGUUCAAUUACUGCACUCCAAGUGUUUGAUGUUAUGCCUCAAAGACAACACCCAAGCUGAACCAGUGGGCUAUUCCAUGAUUUUAGAAAAACCUAUACUUCUUGUUUUACUCUCAGUUUUUAACAGCUUAAAAUAGACUCUUCAAUGAUCAUUUUGAGCUUGGUUUCAAGAAAAACGGAGUUAAAAUGAGAUACUUGUGCUAUGUUGAAGUUACUGCACUGUUUCAGGAUUUCUGCAGAAUCAGCGUUUCUGUCCAUUUUAGAUUCUUGUUUGACCCUCCAUUUGAACUUCGAUUAGCAUGAAACUUUGCAAAAUAGUAGCUUUGCAUGUCUACUUCAAAUCUGGAAAGUUUUGCUUGAAAUCACUGAAAGACUAAUUGUUGGUGAAAUUUUCUUGCUUGUUACCAGUUUUCUGAAAUUUUCUCAAAACUUGCAGCUUAUUGUUACAAACAAUUGAUUUGAGAACCUUUACACUUGUUUUCUGUCCUCGAUCUUCAGUAAGUUAGAUUAGAGAUGCAAAGCAUGCCCUGAAACUUAACUUCAAUUCGAAAGGCUUGAAAAAGGUUUUGUCUUUCUUCGAAAGUGACUACAAACCAGUGUUUUCUAUGCAUUCUGAUCAGAACAUUCUGAUCAAUGCUUUCUUUUCGGAAUAAGCCCACACAUGGUGAAGGCUUGGAAUGGGUGCAAGGCGUUGUAGCUGCUAGCCAAGGAUAAAACCAAAAAGUGGAAUUGAAGGACAUCAAAAUUGUUGUGGCACUGAUAGCAAUCGCUCCAAAUUUCAGCCCUUGUCUCUUCCUAAUGUCAAAAAGAGUGCAAAUGGAGAAGCAUAUCAAGACACUCAUUGUCCUAUCUCACUACUUGGAGGUGCAGUCUUUUUCCUCUCCAUUGUCCACCAUACUAAGCAAGCUCAAGACUCCACAACUCCCAAACGGUUCUUAUUUUGGCAAGGACAAAUCAUUGGAGUUCAUGCAGCUCUGCAUCUAUUUAAGGUUGAUAGAACAUACCUAAUGACAAGUAUAAUAGUUACGAGAUCUCAGCUUCAACAAAUUGGAACAGGAAUUGAAGAUCUUAAAUCUGCAACUAAUUUAGAAGAUAUAUAUAUAUAUAUAAGUUGAUGCUUAUAUAUAAUGUAACAGCGGACUCACUUCCAGUGUCCUUAAAUCCAUUUUUUCUAGAAGUGAACCUUUGGCUAGUCUUAGAAUUGUGAUUGUUGGUUGGUUAUUGAUGAUGGGUUUCAUAAUAUUUUUCAAUAUAUGAUAUUUGCUGCAGAUGCU